rnacentral:rRNA from 1 species
GAUGAACGCUGGCGGCGUGCUUAACACAUGCAAGUCGAACGAUGAAGCCGGAGCUUGCUCUGGUGAAUUAGUGGCGAACGGGUGAGUAACACGUGAGUAACCUGCCCUUGACUCCGGGAUAACUGCGGGAAACUGUAGCUAAUACCGGAUACGAGGCUCGAAGGCAUCUUCGGGUCUGGAAAGAAUUUCGGUCAAGGAUGAGCUCGCGGCCUAUCAGCUUGUUGGUGAGGUAAUGGCUCACCAAGGCGACGACGGGUAGCCGGCCUGAGAGGGUGACCGGCCACACUGGGACUGAGACACGGCCCAGACUCCUACGGGAGGCAGCAGUGGGGAAUAUUGCACAAUGGGCGAAAGCCUGAUGCAGCAACGCCGCGUGGGGGAUGAAGGCCUUCGGGUUGUAAACCUCUUUUAGCAGGGAAGAAGCGAAAGUGACGGUACCUGCAGAAAAAGCACCGGCUAACUACGUGCCAGCCGCCGCAGUAA